rnacentral:tRNA from 1 species
GUUCUACUGUAAAGGGUAGCCUAGUGGACAUGGCAUCAGCCCGGUAAGCGGAACAUUGUGGGUUCGAUUCCCAUCCCUGGACA